AACGAACGCUGGCGGCAUGCCUAACACAUGCCAGUCGAACGAGACCUUCGGGUCUAGUGGCGCACGGGUGCGUAACGCGUGGGAACCUGCCCUUAGGUUCGGAAUAACUCCCCGAAAGGGGUGCUAAUACCGGAUAAUGUCUUCGGACCAAAGAUUUAUCGCCUUUGGAUGGGCCCGCGUUGGUUUAGCUAGUUGGUAGGGUAAAAGCCUACCAAGGCGACGAUCCAUAGCUGGUCUGAGAGGAUGAUCAGCCACACUGGGACUGAGACACGGCCCAGACUCCUACGGGAGGCAGCAGUGGGGAAUAUUGGACAAUGGGCGAAAGCCUGAUCCAGCAAUGCCGCGUGAGUGAUGAAGGCCUUAGGGUUGUAAAGCUCUUUUACCCGGGAUGAUAAUGACAGUACCGGGAGAAUAAGCUCCGGCUAACUCCGUG
rnacentral:rRNA from 1 species